rnacentral:rRNA from 1 species
GACGAACGCUGGCGGCGUGCUUAACACAUGCAAGUCGAACGGAAAGGCCCUGCUUUUGUGGGGUGCUCGAGUGGCGAACGGGUGAGUAACACGUGAGUAACCUGCCCUUGACUUUGGGAUAACUUCAGGAAACUGGGGCUAAUACCGACAUAACGCAACCGAAUCGCAUGUUUGGUUGUCAAAGGGCUGCAAGGCUUGCUUGAAGAUGGACUCGCGUCCGAUUAGGUAGUUGGUGAGGGCAACGGCUCACCAAGCCGACGAUCGGUAGCCGGACUGAGAGGUUGAACGGCCACAUUGGAACUGAGAUACGGUCCAG